UACGUAGGCCACAAGCAUUAUCCGGAUUUAUUGGGCGUAAAGGGUGCGUAGGAGGUUCGGUAAGUUUCCUGUUAAAUCUCAGGGCUCAACUUUGAGACCGCAGGGGAUACUGUCGAACUAGAGGAAGCUAGAGGCUCAUAGAACGCAUGGUGUAGGGGUGACAUCCGUUGAUAUCAUGCGGAAUACCAAAGGCGAAGGCAGUGAGCUGGGGCGUUCCUGACUCUGAAGCACGAAAGCGUGGGGAGCAAAA
rnacentral:rRNA from 1 species